AUACGGAGGAUGCAAGCGUUAUCCGGAUUUAUUGGGUUUAAAGGGUGCGUAGGCGGUUUGCUAAGCGGGAGGUGAAAUGCCGGCGCUCAACGUCGGAAGUGCCUCCCGAACUGGUGGACUGGAAUGACUCUGCCGUGGGAGGAAUGUGUAGUGUAGCGGUGAAAUGCUUAGAGAUUACACAGAACACCGAUUGCGAAGGCAUCUCACGAAGGGUUGAUUGACGCUGAGGCACGAAAGCGUGGGGAUCAAACAGGAUUAGAUACCCUGGUAGUCCACGCAGUAAACGAUGAUGGCUAACCGCUGGUUUUUUCGGAUCAGUGGCCAAGCGAAAGCGAUAAGCCAUCCACCUGGGGAGUACGACCGCAAGGUUGAAACUUAAAGGAAUUGACGGGG
rnacentral:rRNA from 1 species